AGUAACCUGAAAUGCACGAUAACUCCUGUUCAGUUUUGAACCUACAUUUCUUUAAACGGGACUCCUAUAUCGCCAAGUGGCUGUCAGGCCCUCACUUGCCGGCGCAGACCGGUAAGGAUCGGAAGGGAAGGCAAAAGCUGUGGCUGCGGUAACCCACCUAGCAUUGCUAGGAGUCAAAAGACAGGAGGCGGCAUUUUGGGGAUAUA
rnacentral:other from 1 species